GGGGCAGUGACUGGGGGGUGCCUGCACAGCAGACAUGCCAUUUCCAGUCACAACACAGGGAUCACAGCAAACACAGCUGCCACAGAAGCACUAUGGCAUUACUUCUCCCAUCAGCUUAGCAGCCCCCAAGAAGACUAACUGCCUACUCACACAGAAGCUAGUUGAGACUCUGAAGCCCUUUGGGGUUUUUGAAGAGGAAGAGGAACUGCAGUGCAGGAUUUUAAUUUUGGGAAAAUUAAAUAACCUGGUAAAAGAGUGGAUACAAGAAAUUAGUGAAAGCAAGAUCUUCCACAAUCUGUAAUUGAAAAUGUUGGUGGGAAAAUAUUUACAUUUGGAUCUUAUAGAUUAGGAGUACAUACAAAAGGUGCUGAUAUUGAUGCAUUGUGUGUUGCACAAAGACAUGUUGAUCCAAGUGAUUUUUUCACCUCGUUCUAUGAUAAGUUGAAAUUACAGGAAGAAGUAAAAGAUUUAAGAGCUGUUGAAGAGGCAUUUGUACCAGUUAUCAAACUGUGUUUUGAUGGGAUAGAGACUGAUAUUUUGUUUGCAAGAUUAGCACUGCAGACUAUUCCAGAAGAUUUGGACUUAAGAGAUGACAGUCUGCUUAAAAAUUUAAAUAUAAGAUGUAUAAGAAGUCUUAACGGUUGCAGGGUAAUCGAUGAAAUUUUAUAUCUAGUACCAAACAUUGACAACUUCAGGUUAACCCUGAGAGCUAUCAAACUGUGGGCCAAACGCCACAACAUCUAUUCCAAUAUAUUAGGUUUCCUCGGUGGUGUUUCCUGGGCUAUGCUAGUAGCAAGAACUUGCCAGCUUUAUCCAAAUGCAAUAGCAUCAACUCUUGUACAUAAAUUUUUCUUGAUAUUUUCUAAAUGGGAAUGGCCAAAUCCAGUCCUAUUGAAACAGCCUGAAGAAUGCAAUCUUAAUUUGCCUAUAUGGGACCCAAGGGUUAGUGUAUUAUUUUUCCCCUACAAAUUCGCACUGUGCAGUAAUGAGUAGAAGUCAUCUGCAUAAUAAACUGAGGGAGACUUCCCAUUCUGUUACGUAUGAUUGGACAUGUUCGUGUCACACUUUCUUUUUAAUCUCAACCAGAACUGUCCUCUGGUGUGAGAAGCAUAAUUAUGUACCCUGGAACCACAUUUAAUUGUAUGUAGUUUAUAAUAUCAAGGUCACUAACAAUUUAUAUAUAGAACUGCCUUGUAAGUCAAAGUUGUGUGGGCAUUUGUGCUUAAAAAAAUAAUAAUAAAAGGAUACUAAAAAAAAAAAGUAAUGCUCUAAGAUACCAAUAUUAGCUGUUAUCACACAAUUAAGUACUAGUACAUAAAAUGAAAAAUCAUGAGUGGCCUUCCUUAAAAAAUUUCCUAGUCUAUACUGCAUAAGCAACAAACAAAAGUGUCAUUGUGACUACAGAAUAGCUUGGAAAUUUUUUAACUUGACUUCUGUUUUUCUAAAGUAUACAUAAAGAAAACUCUUCUCUGACUGGACAGAUAAUUUAUCAAAUAUCCUGUGCUGAACUAAUAACUUAGUUAAUGUUUACUAUCACAGAUAAACCUACACAAAGGGAAGCAAGCUCAUAAAAAGCUAUAGCAAUAUUUUCUAAAAAUUCUUUUUUCUCCUACAACUCUAAUGAGGAAUGUCAUGUUCUUAAUUUUAAAUAAGGAACACUUUCAUUAAUAAUAAAACUGUGAUUUGAAAACAAACAGCAAUAACAUGAAAUUUUUAUUACAUUGUACAACAGUGUGUGAUUCUCUGAAACACUACCUUAAAAAUUCAUUUGAAUUACCACAAAAGGCAAGGCAAUUGUAAUCACUAAUUAUUAAUACUUUCAUUCAACUCUAAAGUCCAUGGCCACAGGAUAUGCACACGGAGCUUCUUGAGUCUAGGAGAGGAAAGAAAAAACUCCCUAGAGUCUAAAAAUUACAAAUAUUUUUUGGCUAAAACGAAAAGUCAGAGCAACCUUGCCAAGGAAGCAUAGUCGCUAUAUCAAGAAAUGUUCUUUAUUUCAGACAGCCAAAUUCUGCUUUUUAUCCUUUGAGUACUUCAAAGAACCUAAGCAGGAGCAAGGACUUACUAAUUAAACUCUGGAUACUUUCAAUAUGUCCUUUCCAGUAAACUGACUAAUGUGCUAGAUCUUUUAGACUUCUCAGAUUCUUUUCAAAUCUCCCAGUCAUGUCAGUCUGUCACUAAAUGAAUGAAGACAGUGCCCUGAAAUUCAUUCAGUAAAAGGAAUUAAUGAGACACUGUUGAUAAAGGGAUUGGCAACCUUAUAGUAUAAAAGGUACUAUUCAAAGUAUUAUCUUUUCUUCUGAUAGUCAUCUGGCAAAGAUACUUUUAAUUCUGAUAGUUUUAAAUGUCCUAAGACUAAGACCUCAUUAUAAUACAUUUUUUUCUUAGAAGGAAAAUGGUUAAGGCAAUUCAUAUGCUCUGAGCUUAAAAAUCUAAAUUGAUCAUAUCCUUCCUACUUGUUUAUGUAGUUCAAUAGAGACUGAUUACUUACUUAAAGACCACAAAAUUUCUCAGAGAAAGAAAUCACCAUCUUUUUAGCACAGAGAAAUGGAACUAAAACUCAUUUUCUCUUUUGUACAGCCAGCAUUUUUAAACGGAAAAGAGCCUCAAAGAAAUUUUCAACCUUUAGCUGAAGGCUUUCAAAAUGUGGCAUAUUCAGAAGUGAAGGUUCAUGCCUUUAAGCAUUUUAAGACUGUUAGUUAAGUCAGAAGCCAUGAAUUCAAUAGUUUGAGAUCUCUGAAUAAAAUAUAACUACCAAAGUUUCUAUUUUUUUCUAAGUAUUUCACACUAUUUAUUGCUGUCUCUGGAAAAGUAAUCUUUAAGCAAGAUUGUUUUUAAAGACAGCUUCUUUAGUAAGCUAAGUUUAAGGUUUAAUCAUUAAUAAAAUGUUAAUUUGAACACAGUGACACACUCACAUAAUGAAUCAAGUUAUAUCCUCUGUAUUUUGGGGUUUUUCAAUGAAGUAAAUUAUUUUAAUUUUGGAAAUCCAACUGCCUCCUUCAAGAGGGAAGUUUCACUUCCUAGAUUGUGAAUGAUCCACUAUACAAGACCAAUCAUUUAAAAUGAGGCGAAAAGAGAUCAUCUAGAAAUAACAGUAAUCCAUUUUUUAAUUCCCUAAUGAUUUAUAUUAUCAUGAAAUAUUCUAAAAAGAUGGUCUAAAUAGUCUAAAUCCAGAAACAUACAUAAAAAUUACCCAUUAACUAGGAAGGAAAUGAUAUGCUGGAAAAUUUAACAAAAACUCUGGAUUAAAAUAUUUACUAUGAAAUAAGCUACUAUGUUUUUAAAGAUUCUUUAGAAAUCAUAAAUUCCACCUUCCAGAACAUAAUUAAGGACAGAAUUGUCUUUGUUUUUAACAGACAAAAUAAAAGUUUCAUUUUUCAGUCACGUAUGUAGUUAAUAUCUACUCUUUGAAAAACAUACAUUAGAGAUUUAAACCUCUUGGUAAAGAAAGAUGUGAAUGUUUUGUAGAAAGAUGGAGGAAAAGAUUCUUUACAAGGGAGUUCAGAGACAUCUAGUGGUCGUUAACAAUACACUUGGUUUUUUCCUGGAAAAUGAAAUAAGGUUACAUAGUUCUACAGUCAUGUUCAUAUUACAAAUAAUAUAAGAUUUUCCCUGCACUUCUGAAUCUGUUUCACCCUACUGCUUUAGCUUAAUGUUUCCAGAAACUGAAAACAGCAUUAAACUCAACCUUUAAAAAGUAGUAAAAUAUCACUGAAAUAAUACACAAAACUCUGCAAAUGUUCCAUCAUAUAAAAGGGCAUGUAUGAUCUAAAACAUAAUUCAACAAAUGCAGGUGGGCAUUUGUUUUUUACAAGCUGUUAAUGCUGCUGUAAAUUAGAUCACCAUAUGCAUAAAACCCCAAAUGGCUAAAAAUUUUUAAUGCCUGGCUUCUGAAAGGAGUUCUCUGCUAAACAUGGUCAUAGAUCCACCAAGCUAGAAGGCACCUUAAAAGGCCAACAAGCUUACUGCCAAAGUCUUCAGACUGUCAAAAUAGAAUUUAAUUUUCAAAGCUAAUAGAAAAGCUAUUCUACACUGUUCUUCAAUAGUCUAUUUCAACAAUCCAAAGAACCUGUCAAAUAACUCUUCCCUCCAACAUCAGUCCUUCAUGCUACAGAUUAAUCCUCAUCUUUUUUAUUCUUUCCUCAGUUAUUUCUACUGUGUAUUAUUAACAUUUAUACCUCUUCCUAUUCUUUUAUACAAGUACAGCACUUUACAUUCAUCCCUAUUACUGUCAUGUAGCAAGGGAGAUUCAAUCAAUUCAUCAUUACAAUUUCUCUAGUUCCUUUUGUAUUCUGGCUUGAUCCAAAGCAUUUGCUACCUCUCUCAGUAUUAUGUAUUCCACAAACUUGAUAGACACAGUCUAAUAACAAUCCAGGAACACUCUAAAUUUGUGUUAAAGUUUUAACACAAAAUAUCUGAUUUAUAAAGCAUCCACCAAAAUUAGCCUUCAAUAGAGCAACUCAGACUUUUCUUUUCUUUUUAUUCAAUUUGAACUGAGAAUAUAAAAUGGGUCAGACAAAAUAUUAAGCAUUGCUUCACAUCUCUAUGAACUUUUGGCCAAGAAAACAUUUAUGAUAGAAACUAAAGAAAAAUGUCCAUUGUUUGGAUUGUUGGUUUCUGGCUACUUUUAAUGUUUCGUUGUUAUUGUUCAGUCACUCAGUCGUGUCCAACUCUUUUAGGCUAUAUGAAUCUAUUUUUGUCUUAAUUACCUCAACUAACAAAAGACUGACACUGCCAAGAUUAAAACAUGUUGCAUUUAUUUCCGGCUUCCCUGAUGGCUCAGGGUAAAGAAUCCACCUGCAAUGCAGG